UAGGUGUUGGUUGACUGUGGUUCCUCACA
rnacentral:piRNA from 1 species